rnacentral:tRNA from 1 species
GGGGAUAUGCUUCAGUGGUAGGGUGUCCUGACUUCAAUCCCUGGCACCAAAAAUAAAUAAAUAAAUAAAUAAAUAAAUAAAUAAAUAAAUAAAAUAAAAUAAAAAGUGCUGGGGAUAUAGCUCAAUGGAAGAGCGCCCCUGGGUUCAAUCCCCAGUAACACCA